rfam:Clostridium perfringens str. 13 DNA, complete genome.
GGUCAAGCUACAAAGGGCGCAUGGUGAAUGCCUUGGCAUCAGGAGCCGAUGAAGGACGUGAUAAGCUGCGAUAAGCUUCGGGUAGGCGCACAUAGCCUGAGAUCCGAAGAUCUCCGAAUGAGGAAACUCACAUGGGAAACCCCAUGUAUCAUUAAGUGAAUACAUAGCUUAAUGAAGGUAACCCAGGGAACUGAAACAUCUAAGUACCUGGAGGAAGAGAAAGAAAAAUCGAUUUUCUUAGUAGCGGCGAGCGAAAGGGAAAGAGCCCAAACCGGAAACUUGUUUCCGGGGUUGAGGACAUAACAUAAAGAGAAGUAAUGGCUAAUUGAAGAGAACUGGAAAGUUCCACCGUAGAAGGUAAUAGUCCUGUAAAUGAAAGCUAGUAUAAUCGAGUUAUGAUCCAGAGUACCACGAGACACGUGAAACCUUGUGGGAAGCAGGGAGGACCACCUCCCAAGGCUAAAUACUACCUGAUGACCGAUAGUGAAGCAGUACCGUGAGGGAAAGGUGAAAAGAACCCCGGGAGGGGAGUGAAAUAGAACCUGAAACCGUGUGCCUACAACCGCUCAGAGCCCCUUAUGAGGGUGAUGAGGUGCUUUUUGUAGAACGAGCCAACGAGUUACGGUAUGUAGCAAGGUUAAGUACUUAAGGUACGGAGCCGAAGGGAAACCGAGUCUGAAUAGGGCGACUAGUUGCAUGCCGUAGACCCGAAACCGGGUGACCUAUCCAUGGCCAGGUUGAAGCGAGGGUAAAACCUCGUGGAGGACCGAACCACGUUGCUGUUGAAAAAGCAUGGGAUGAGCUGUGGAUAGCGGAGAAAUUCCAAUCGAACCCGGAGAUAGCUGGUUCUCUCCGAAAUAGCUUUAGGGCUAGCGUCGAGUAUGAGUAGUGGAGGUAGAGCACUGAAUGGGCUAGGGGGCAUAGCGCUUACCGAACCUUAUCAAACUCCGAAUGCCACAUACUUUGAGCUCGGCAGUCAGACUACGAAUGAUAAGAUCCGUGGUCAAAAGGGAAACAGCCCAGAUCGUCAGCUAAGGUCCCAAAGUGUAAGUUAAGUGGGAAAGGAUGUGAGAUUUCUAAGACAACUAGGAUGUUGGCUUAGAAGCAGCCAUUCAUUAAAAGAGUGCGUAAUAGCUCACUAGUCGAGAGAUCUUGCGCCGAAAAUGUAACGGGGCUAAACUUACCACCGAAGCUACGGGCUUGAACUUAGUUCAAGCGGUAGGAGAGCGUCGUAACCGGGCUGAAGUCGUACCGUAAGGAGCGGUGGACUGGUUACGAGUGAGAAUGUUGGCAUCAGUAGCGAGAUGUGGGUGAGAAUCCCACAGGCCGAAAACCUAAGGUUUCCUCAGGAAGGUUCGUCCGCUGAGGGUUAGUCGGGACCUAAGCCGAGGCCGAAAGGCGUAGGUGAUGGACAACUGGUUGAUAUUCCAGUACCACUACCAUCGUUAUUAUCGAUGGCGUGACGCAGGAGGAUAGUGUGUGCUAGCUAUUGGAUGCUAGUCUAAGCGUUUAGGCAGUGAGAGUAGGCAAAUCCGCUCUCAUAAUGCUGAGGCGUGAUGGGGAAGGUUCCACGGAACCGAAGUACAUGAUUCCACGCUGCCAAGAAAAGCGUCUAGAGAGAGAAGUAGUGCCCGUACCGCAAACCGACACAGGUAGGUGAGGAGAGAAUCCUAAGGCCGGCGGAAGAAUUACAGUUAAGGAACUCGGCAAAUUGACCCCGUAAGUUCGCGAGAAGGGGUGCCUACGAGAGUAGGCCGCAGAGAAUAGGCCCAAGCAACUGUUUAGCAAAAACACAGGUCUCUGCUAAAGCGUAAGCUGAUGUAUAGGGGCUGACGCCUGCCCGGUGCUGGAAGGUUAAGGGGAACACUUAGCGCAAGCGAAGGUGUGAACUUAAGCCCCAGUAAACGGCGGCCGUAACUAUAACGGUCCUAAGGUAGCGAAAUUCCUUGUCAGGUAAGUUCUGACCCGCACGAAUGGCGUAAUGACUUGGGCACUGUCUCAACUGUAAAUCCGGCGAAGUUGUAGUGCGAGUGAAGAUGCUCGCUACCCGCGAUUGGACGGAAAGACCCCGUAGAGCUUUACUGUAGCUUAGCAUUGAGUUUUGGUAUUGUCUGUACAGGAUAGGUGGGAGACUAGGAAACCAGGGCGUCAGCCUUGGUGGAGUCAACCUUGGGAUACCACCCUGACAGUACUGAAAUUCUAACUGGCGGCCAUGAAUCUGGUCACAGGACAUUGUUAGGUGGGCAGUUUGACUGGGGCGGUCGCCUCCUAAAAAGUAACGGAGGCGCCCAAAGGUUCCCUCAGAACGGUCGGAAAUCGUUCGAAGAGUGCAAAGGCAGAAGGGAGCCUGACUGCGACACCCACAAGUGGAGCAGGGACGAAAGUCGGGCUUAGUGAUCCGGUGGUACCUCGUGGGAGGGCCAUCGCUCAACGGAUAAAAGCUACCUCGGGGAUAACAGGCUGAUCUCCCCCAAGAGUCCACAUCGACGGGGAGGUUUGGCACCUCGAUGUCGGCUCGUCGCAUCCUGGGGCUGAAGUAGGUCCCAAGGGUUGGGCUGUUCGCCCAUUAAAGCGGCACGCGAGCUGGGUUCAGAACGUCGUGAGACAGUUCGGUCCCUAUCCGUCGCGGGCGUAGGAAAUUUGAGAGGAGCUGUCCUUAGUACGAGAGGACCGGGAUGGACUGACCUCUGGUGUACCAGUUGUUCUGCCAGGAGCACAGCUGGGUAGCUAAGUCGGGAAUGGAUAAACGCUGAAAGCAUCUAAGCGUGAAGCCAACCUCAAGAUGAGAUUUCCCAUAGCGUAAGCUAGUAAGAUCCCUUGAAGAACACAAGGUUGAUAGGUCGGGGGUGUAAGCAUGGUAACAUGUUCAGCUGACCGAUACUAAUAGAUCGAGGGCUUGACCAA